AUUGAACGCUGGCGGCAGGCCUAACACAUGCAAGUCGAACGAGUGGCGGACGGGUGAGUAAUGUCUGGGAAACUGCCCGAUGGAGGGGGAUAACUACUGGAAACGGUAGCUAAUACCGCAUACCAUCGGUCGUGCCCAGAUGGGAGUAGCUAGUAGGUGGGGUAAUGGCUCACCUAGGCGACGCUCCCUAGCUGGUCUGAGAGGAUGACCAGCCACACUGGAACUGAGACACUGUCCAAACUCCUACGGGGGGCAGCAGUGGGGAAUAUUGCACAAGUGGCGCAAGCCUGAUGCAGCCAUGCCGCGUGUAUGAAGAAGGCCUUCGGGUUGUAAAGUACUUUCAGCGAGGAGGCGUUACUCGCAGAAGAAGCACCGGCUAACGCCGUGCCAGCAGCCGCGGUAAUAC
rnacentral:rRNA from 1 species